ensembl:snRNA U4 U4 spliceosomal RNA
AGCUCUGCGCAGUGGCAAAGCUCUAGUCAGUGAGGUUUGUCCGAGGUGUGAUGAUUGCUAAUGGAAAGCUUUUCCCAAAAGGGAAGUCUUUUUGAAAUUCACAUAAAAUUCUGUAUAGACUAGAUAAGGCCCCAACUUUCACGUUG